GGAAGCCACCCACAGUGGCUGGGGCAGCCCAGUCAAAUGGGCAUUACAUCAUCAUCAUCAUUAUUGUUAUUGUUAUUGUUAUUAGAAUGCUUCCACAAUUAACAUAUUUUUAAUCCAGUAUAACAUACCCUCCAACAUUUCUCCAGUGAAAAUAGGGACGUCCUAUCCCAUAACAACAACAAAAAUAAUUUUGUUAUUUAUACCCUGCCUAUCAGACUGGGUUGCCCCAGCUACUCUGGGCAGCUUCC